rnacentral:lncRNA from 13 species
CUUUCUCAGCACCAUUUCCACUUUCUAGGUGACAUUUCAAGGCGGCUUGCACAGUCCACCCACUGGCCAGUCCCCAGGGUCUCGGUCCCCAGAGUCUGUCCAACUUGGCACUGGAUCCAUGCAGGUGCCUGUGUGCGUGCCCCACAGUGCAGUUACUUGGAAUGAAUAAACACACCCUCGCCCACCAAGGCACGCAAACCUGGCCUUCCCAGCUCAGAGGCUCCUUGAUGGCAGUUUGAGAUGAAGCAGCUGUGAUCAAAGACAGAAGGUGGAGGCAAGGCUUAGCAUCCCACAGAGCAGAGGCCCUAGUCCCCCAG